AUUGAACGCUGGCGGCAGGCCUAACACAUGCAAGUCGAGCGAGCGGCGGCCGUGUGAGUAAUGCCUGGGAAUUGCCCAGUCGAGGGGUAUACCAGUUGGAAACGACUGCUAAUACCGCAUACGAUUGGAUUGCCCAGGUGGGAUUAGCUCGUUGGGGAGGUAAUGGCUCACCAAGGCGACGAUCCCUCGCUGGUCUGAGAGGAUGAUCAGCAACACGGGAACUGAGACACGGUCAAGACUCCUAAGGGAGGCAGCAGUGGGGAAUAUUGCACAAUGGGGGAAACCCUGAUACAGCCAGGCCGCGUGUGUGAAGAAGGCCUUCGGGUUGUAAAGCACUUGCAGCGAGGAGGCGUUACUCGCAGAAGAAGCACCGGCUAACUCCGUGCCAGCAGCCGCGGUAAUAC
rnacentral:rRNA from 1 species